rnacentral:rRNA from 1 species
GGUAGUCCGCACGAGACGCAACCCCUACUUGUUAGUUGCCAUCAUUCAGUUGGGCACUCUAGCGAGACUGCCCGGUAAUAAACCGGAGGAAGGUGGGGAUGACGUCAAAUCAUCAUGCCCCUUAUGACCUGGGCUACACACGUGCUACAAUGGUUGGUACAACGAGUUGCGAGUCGGUGACGGCGAGCUAAUCUCUUAAAGCCAAUCUCAGUUCGGAUUGUAGGCUGCAACUCGCCUACAUGAAGUCGGAAUCGCUAGUAAUCGCGGAUCAGCACGCCGCGGUGAAUACGUUCCCGGGCCUU